CUGCGAUCAAAUCCUGACCUCGUCAGCCAGGUCAGCCUUCACCUCUUGGAGGCUGGCUCUGCAUGAGUGACUGUGAGGCCUAAAUAAAAUUAAGUGUAUAGAAGUAUAAUAUCUAGCACAGGCCUGGCCUUACAUAAGGGGCACACUCAGUGUUGCUCCCCUCCCCCUUUCCAGCCUUCAGACCUCACAGCUCUCUCCACUCUUACUAACAGAAACAAGCACAGAGGCCACAGAGCAUUUCCCAGCAAGAAGGUUUGCAAAGAAGGAUGGCAGAAGUCCGCAAAGAAACAAACAGGCCACCCCACUGCUGGCAACUUUAUUCAGGCAGUACUGGAACAGGAUGGGAAAUACUAACAUGAAGUUGGGUUCGAAUUAUUUUUCACCUGUUUUUAAUCAUCUAUUACACAGGUAGAUGGUGCCCAACCUUCAAAACCAGAAGACUAGGAAAAAUACGAGCUCAGCACACUUACACAGUCUCAACUCAGUGCUGGCUGGCCUGGCAUCAAGUCCGCACAGUUGCCGCCAACCACAGUCAAGUUGGUACAGCUGCCAUAGAAAGCUGAAAAUCAGACUGCCACGAGAUCUGCCUGAAAGUUCUCUGUACAUUCCCCCAAGUUUCAUCCACCUGAAAAAUGCCAGUUACCACCACCUAGAACACCUUUAAACAGCUUGGUGGCACUGCCAGAGUAAGAGACACCUAAGGCUUGGGUUUUUCAGAAGGUGAGGAUUCCGUUAGUAAGUUGAUUAGAACUCCCAGAAUUAGCCCAGCAGUGUCAAACAGCCAUGAGAGGCAAUCGGCUUGGUUUUUAAAAAUGGUUUCAGUCUCAUGCUCUAUGUGUUCCAUUCAUUGUGUACAACUUCACUGAAUUAGCAGACAGUCCAGCUUAUGGCUUCCAUGCCUCCACCAAACAAGAUUAGAGAAAAAAACAAAACAAAACAAAACAGAAAUGAAACCACAGGAAGGCAGGCAGGUAUCCAAGUCAUGGGCCCCAGUGUGGAUCAGUUUGGAUGCACUGUGUGCCUACAGGGUCUUGCAGGUGAAAACAGCCUCUGUUACUGAAUCCUUCCACCAAGACUGGAACCUAGACACUCAGAGCAGGCCUUAAACACAAUCUGAGAAUGACAAAGACAAAAUACCAUGGACAUAAGAUAGAAUUGGAGAGAGGGGGUACUUAAAAAGAAAAAAUCAAGACAACCAUUAGCUUUUCUUUAAAAUAGCCCACUCCCUGGUGCACUUCCAGUAGAAUACAGUUGACACUGAAAUCUGUAAGGCUGUGGCACAGGCAAGAAGCGAGGUACCUCUGUGUGUCAGUGGCCAGUCUGCCUAUCUAUCAGCAAAGCUGGAGGAUUCCGGGUCAGGAUGUGCCCUGGACAAGGGAAAGCUGGCCCUAGAGAGACAUUCUAUUGCCAGGCUACAGACCACACUCCAAGCCCAGCUCUCUCAGAAACUGAUGCCAGUGAAGGCAACGUGAGAGACGCAGGCUGUGACAAGAGUGAACUAAGAGGCAGGACACUGCUCCAUCACUUUGGGUCACUGCUGGAGGUCCCCAUUGUCCAUCUCUCCAUUGGCAUCCCUUAGUGUUAAAUAAGACUGGACCAGUGACCCAGCACGGAGCCUCUGAACCCCAAAGAAUGUGCCCAGUAAGCAUGGGCUCACCAUUCCUGUUUUCAUUCUUUUAUUAUUAAUAUUAUCCAGCCGUCAUUGAUUAAGCACCUAUAAUGCCUUCCCUCCCAACUUCAAACACUUGAUAGGAAGGUAAAGUGAGGCAAUUCAGGUGAAGCCCACACAAACACAUAGCUCUUAUCAUUAGCACAGCUAUUAUUGUGAGCUCAAACCCACUCAAAGCCCCUACAGAACUAACUCAACCUGAGUUAAGUGAGCUAAAAUAUCCCAAGAGGGAGUGCCUAUCAGAAGCUUCAUUUCUCAGGACCACGUUUGCUCUUCAAAUGAGAAGCUAGUUGUCUAAAGGAACAAUCUCUCUCUCCAUCUGGCCAGCCAGUGACUUGUCCCUUGUAUGUGUGAAAUGUGCCUUCCCCAACAGGAGGCAUUUUAAGCUUGACGGGGUUUUGUUAAAGUUAAUAUACGUGGGCCCUUUACAAUCCUGGAAACUAAUUAUUGAAUCGCCUCUCUCCUUCUUCAAGUCAUCAGGUGGAAAUGAAAAACGGAGGUAGAAGCAGAGAAAGAAAAAGUGUCGGGGGAGAAUUCUACUUUCCCCACGUCUUCGAGUACAAGAGCUAAUCUAGUCCUACAAACGAAGAUAUACAAGAGGCACAAUUUAAAUAACUUUCCCAGCCUUUAAUUAAGCAAAGUAGAGUGAAAGGAUCAACAGCCUCUGACAUGAAUUUGCAUACCUUUUGCCAAGUUCUGUGUGUGUGGAGGGGGAGUCACAUCUUCCCCAAACUUGUUUCACACUCACUACUCAUUCUCUCCACAGGCCUCAUAAGAGGCACAACCAUUUAAAACAAACAAGAGCUUCUAACCCAACCAUUUGAGAGAGCUAUGUGAUUUUAAAAAGAAAAAAAAAGGUCAACAGCGUUCUGAGUACAUAUCGCAAGCUUUGUUCUACUCGCUUCCCCACUUCCUGUUGCUUCCUCACCUCGUAACUUUUUAUUUUUGAAGCCUAUGCGUUCGCACUGGUAUCACUGUAAGGUUUCAGUGGGAGGCCGUCGGAGAGACCAGGAUGAGGAGGCUCUGUACUGUUCUGAGACAGACAGGACCGUACGAAAGACAGAAAUCACAACCGCCCGGCCCUCAGGAAAGUACAGCCAAAAUUUCACCGCUCCCGUCAACAGUGGGGGUGCUAGGAAAACAGUUGUGGGCGAGCUUUACUUUGUGGGGAGCACACUGUGUGGGCAAUGGUCACUUAACCAUUAGUUAGUACCAAGUGGCUUACAGCUGGGGGCAAGGGGAAAAAACACUUGACACCCACAGACCAAGAAAUACACGAGCCGGCUCUGCAGGUUACUAGGGCCUCUCCAAACACCUGCCCAAGCCCUGCACUCCAGGGAGGGAUCACCACUGGGAAAAGGAACUGAAAGACUGAAAUGCUUUGUGAGUGGGACCCUGUCUUAUCUCCAGCUUAGAACAGAGGUCAGAACAAAAGGGGGACAUGGACACCAUUUGGCCAGACCCUUCCUGUUACAGAGGACACCAGGACCAAGAGCUGUUAUCACAAAGCUAAUUUACUCACAGGAGACCAGGUAUUGGAUCCCAGUUCUCCCAUCUCCCAGAACAGGGCUUUUCGAGAUCUUCUCAAACGAACAUGGAGCAGGUGCUCAAUAAAUGUUGGCUCAGCUACACUGGACUGCAAUGCAUGGUGGGUGGAGAGUGCAACCCUAAAAUACUUUUUGUCUGAUACCAGGAGGUCCCAUCUUCCAGAAGAUGUUUUGGGGGUUAGAGUAGCCUGUCCUCAUAAUCUACUCUGGCUCUUAAAUGCCUAGGGUUAAGGACUGCCCUUCAACAGGUCCCUAAGCUAGACUGUUGCACCCAUCUGCCAUUAUUUCCCAGCCGGGGGGAACAAUUCUGGGAGACAGGGUGAUAUUGCACAAGUCACAGGGCAGGGAAUGAAAAGCUGGGCUCCAGCCUCUGGUGAACAGUCUCAGCAGAUGGCCUCAGGGAGUCCUCCUGCCCACACCCACCACCCCCAUGCCUUCCUGCAUCCACGUGUACCCUUUGAACACGAUCUCUAAGAAGCUGCUGGUCCUGUGGGCCUCGGAUCCUAAGAGCCUAUACUCUCCCAUCUGCUGGCCACCACAGAGCUCAUUCUUCUGCCCCCACCUUCACCCUCAGCCUUCCCGCCUACUCUACCUGCCUAGAACAUCUGUGGGCCCUCAGAACAUGGAGCAGUGGGCUGGAGGGUUCUAUGUACAUUUCUACCUAAUUUGAGUUUACCAUGAGCUCUCGAUGUGUCUUCUGGAAUCCUCCCCACAGAGUAAAGCUUUGCUCCCAAAAUAAAAUAAAACUUAAAAUGUGAUGAAGGCCUGUAUGUGCCAGGUGCUUGGCCAGGGUCAGGCUGGGCUGUGUCUCAGGAACUGGGAGAAAGACAUCCAGAGUUGGAAUCCAAACAGCUGAAGCCCAGCUUCACCCCAUCAGCCUCUAUCUCCUUCCCAUGACUGAUUUUCUUCGCAGACCUCAUCGACACCUGACAUUGUAGUAGAUGUGUACACGUAUACUUAUUAUCUGUCUUGCUCAUUGGAAGGAAUGCUCCAUGAGGGCAGGGGCUGGCUUUGUCUAUCCUGGCAGCCAGGGCAGCACCUGGCACAUGGCAGGGGUGUGAUGCCUGCUAAAUGAAUGAAGAAAUGAAUGAGUGAAUGAAUAAGCAGUUGAUCCUGGAUGUGCCUCAAUCAUGACCAAGUCACUUAACAUCUUUAAGUUUCCUUAUUUAUAAAAUGAGGAUAAUAAUCAUGUAUUCUUUAUGUGACUGGAGUGAUCAUUAAACAAGAAAAUGAUCAUAAGAGCAUUUAGGACGUACCUGGGACACAGCAAACCAACGAUAAACGUUAGCUAUUACUUGUUAGCCAUUAUUAUUAUAGUCACUGAUGGAAACAGAGAGAAAUAAAGCCUCUUUAUUAUACCCUGGGCAGUUUUUAGGCUAACUAACUGAAAUUCUGUGUGUGUAAGACCUAUCCAGAAAGGAUCAUUAAGAGAGGCCUGAGCCAUGGGCCUGCAUAGAUACUAUGGGUCCCUCAGAGCAUCAGUCUUAGCAGAAAAUCUUUUCAUGUCCCUGAAAGUGAUAAGCUCAUUUGCACAAAGGUUGCUUUAUGGGUCUCUGAUAGCCAUCAUCCCAGCAAUUAAAGUCUUCAAAUACCUAAUUCCUGCCCUCAAGAGCUUACAGUCCAGCUGGGGGAAAUGAGACAUUAACAUAUGAAAGGUGACCUAUAAAUUCAAACUCAAGACAACAUAUGUCAAAUGUCAAAUGAGUACACUGGAGAUGAAGUCCUGAGAAACGCUGGUAAGGCGAAUGUUUAACAAGCAGCACACACACACAUACACACACAUACACACACACACACACACACACACACAGCAGUUGUCAAUUUCCAUGGUAUAAAUACUCCCACUAUGGCGUUUCAAGCUGCCGACGCGAGGGCCACUGGACAUGGAGUUGGGAAGAGACAUGCACAGUUAACUCCCACGAGCUGGUGCGAGCCAGCUUCCACACGCAUCACCGAUCUAGGUCCUAUUGUCAAUAAUCUCUCAAACAGGUCAAGGGCUGUGGGCCAAGUGGUCAGUGCUAACAACCAGCAUCUUUGUAGUACUUCAGGUUACAAAGCACAUCAGAGGUCAUUACUGUAUUUCAUCCUCACCACCUGGCCAGAAAGGCAUUCCUGCCUUCAUUUUGCAGAUAAAUAAACUGGGUUUCAAAAAAGUACCACAAAUUUUUCACUGUCAUUCUGCAAGUGAGUGACAUUGUCAGGGCUUGAACCAGUAUCUUCUGGGGCAGCCAAGGCCUCUCAUCAUCCCCUCUGCCCCUGAGAAGGAGGGCUUCUCAGAGAAGUGGUUGAAGGACGAUGAGAAGUAAGUAAAGGUCAGAACAGAGAUUCAGGAGAGGUACAGCACUUAAGCAGAUGGUGAAUUCCCUGCAGAGUGCAAAGGUCACGGGAGUGUGCAAGGCCUGGCAAAACCUGAAACUAAUGCAACCAUUUAGUUCAGUGUGCUUCACCAGAGAAUUUCUUUCCUAAAACAGUGACCUAGCUAUUAAAAUCUGCAUUCCCAAAUCCGCUGCAGCAUUAGGUGAAUGAGCAAAAGAAAUGGAAGGCAAUUUAGAUGACUAAAUAUAGGGGAGCUGGUUAAAUAAGUUAUAGAACUUCCGCAUAAUAGAAUGCUGUGCCACCACAGAAAGUCAGGUUUUAAAAGAGCAGUGUACAACUAGGAAAUCCUCACAAUAGAGUUUUUAAAGCACAUUACAUAACAAUAUGUGCAAUAUGAUUCCAGUUCUGUAAAAAUGAACAAGCAGGCAAACUCUCCAAUGUAUAUAUGCAGGAAAAAAAAAAAAAAAAAGACUGGGAUGUAAACUUCCAAAUCCUCACACUGGUUUCUUCCAGAAAGAUGGAUGUUUUUAUUUUCUUCUCUAUG
rnacentral:lncRNA from 10 species